GCGGUAAUACAGAGGGUGCAAGCGUUAAUCGGAAUUACUGGGCGUAAAGCGCGCGUAGGUGGUUCGUUAAGUUGGAUGUGAAAUCCCCGGGCUCAACCUGGGAACUGCAUUCAAAACUGUCGAGCUAGAGUAUGGUAGAGGGUGGUGGAAUUUCCUGUGUAGCGGUGAAAUGCGUAGAUAUAGGAAGGAACACCAGUGGCGAAGGCGACCACCUGGACUGAUACUGACACUGAGGUGCGAAAGCGUGGGGAGCAAACAGGAUUA
rnacentral:rRNA from 2 species